UCGUGGAUUAAUUUGUCUGGUUAAUUCCGUUAACGAACGAGACCUUAACUUGCUAAUUGGGGUGUAAAAUUCUUAUAUUUUACAUCCUGUUAGAAGGACCAUGUGUCUCUAACACAAGGAAGCGUGAGGCAAUAACA
rnacentral:rRNA from 1 species